AGUGAACGCUGGCGGUAGGCCUAACACAUGCAAGUCGAACGGCAGCACAGUAAGAGCUUGCUCUUACGGGUGGCGAGUGGCGGACGGGUGAGGAAUACAUCGGAAUCUACUUUUUCGUGGGGGAUAACGUAGGGAAACUUACGCUAAUACCGCAUACGACCUACGGGUGAAAGCAGGGGAUCUUCGGACCUUGCGCGAUUGAAUGAGCCGAUGUCGGAUUAGCUAGUUGGCGGGGUAAAGGCCCACCAAGGCGACGAUCCGUAGCUGGUCUGAGAGGAUGAUCAGCCACACUGGAACUGAGACACGGUCCAGACUCCUACGGGAGGCAGCAGUGGAAUAUUGGACAAUGGGCGCAAGCCUGAUCCAGCCAUACCGCGUGGGUGAAGAAGGCCUUCGGGUUGUAAAGCCCUUUUGUUGGGAAAGAAAAGCAGCAGGUUAAUACCCCGCUGUUCUGACGGUACCCAAAGAAUAAGCACCGGCUAACUUCGU
rnacentral:rRNA from 1 species